GAGGAGCCAGGGACCUUCUUCCAAAGCUCAUCAGUUUUACUGGGGAAAAACCUUCUAGUAUACCGCACCUGAGCCUUGCCAAGUUGGGUGAGUAUACAUUCAUUUGCUAAGAGGUGUCUGCAUACACCUCCAUAUGUAGAUAUCUUACAGAAUCAGAAAUCUUAGAAUCAA
rnacentral:lncRNA from 1 species